rnacentral:rRNA from 1 species
CCUACGGGUGGCAGCAGUAGGGAAUAUUGCUCAAUGGGGGAAACCCUGAUGCAGCAACGCCGCGUGAGGGAUGAAGGUUUUCGGAUUGUAAACUCCUUUUGUUAGAGAAGAUAAUGACGGUAUCUGACUAAUAAGCACCGGCUAACUCCGUGCCAGCAGCCGCGGUAAUACGGAGGGGGCAAGCGUUACGCGGAAUGACUGGGCGUAAAGAGCGCGUAGGCGGGAGAGCAAGUCUGAUGUGAAAUGCGAGGGCUUAACCAUCGAACUGCAUUUGAAACUGUUAGUCUAGAGUAUGGGAGAGGUAGGUGGAAUUCCUGGUGUAGGGGUAAAAUCCGUAGAGAUUAAGAGGAAUACUCAUGGCGAAGGCGACCUGCUAGAACAUAACUGACGCUGAUGCGCGAAAGCGUGGGGAGCAAACAGGAUUAGAUACCCCAGUAGUC